rnacentral:rRNA from 1 species
CUGGUCUGAGAGGAUGAUCAGUCACACUGGAACUGAGACACGGUCCAGACUCCUACGGGAGGCAGCAGUGGGGAAUAUUGGACAAUGGGCGAAAGCCUGAUCCAGCCAUGCCGCGUGUGUGAAGAAGGUCUUCGGAUUGUAAAGCACUUUAAGUUGGGAGGAAGGGCAGUAAGUUAAUACCUUGCUGUUUUGACGUUACCGACAGAAUAAGCACCGGCUAACUCUGUGCCAGCAGCCGCGGUAAUACAGAGGGUGCAAGCGUUAAUCGGAAUUACUGGGCGUAAAGCGCGCGUAGGUGGUUCGUUAAGUUGGAUGUGAAAGCCCCGGGCUCAACCUGGGAACUGCAUUCAAAACUGGCGAGCUAGAGUAUGGUAGAGGGUGGUGGAAUUUCCUGUGUAGCGGUGAAAUGCGUAGAUAUAGGAAGGAACACCAGUGGCGAAGGCGACCACCUGGACUGAUACUGACACUGAGGUGCGAAAGCGUGGGGAGCAGACAGGAUUAGAUACCCUGGUAGUCCACGCCGUAAACGAUGUCGACUAGCCGUUGGGGUCCUUGAGACUUUAGUGGCGCAGCUAACGCAUUAAGUCGACCGCCUGGGGAGUACGGCCGCAAGGUUAAAACUCAAAUGAAUUGACGGGGGCCCGCACAAGCGGUGGAGCGUGUGGUUUAAUUCGAAGCAACGCGAAGAACCUACCUGGCCUUGACAUGCUGAGAACUUUCCAGAGAUGGAUUGGUGCCUUCGGGAACUCAGACACAGGUGCUGCAUGGCUGUCGUCAGCUCGUGUCGUGAGAUGUUGGGUUAAGUCCCGUAACGAGCGCAACCCUUGUCCUUAGUUACCAGCACGUUAUGGUGGGCACUCUAAGGAGACUGCCGGUGACAAACCGGAGGAAGGUGGGGAUGACGUCAAGUCAUCWUGGCCCUUACGGCCAGGGCUACACGCGUGCUACAAUGGUCGGUACAAAGGGUUGCCAAGCCGCGAGGUGGAGCUAAUCCCAUAAAACCGAUCGUAGUCCGGAUCGCAGUCUGCAACUCGACUGCGUGAAGUCGGAAUCGCUAGUAAUCGUGAAUCAGAAUGUCACGGUGAAUACGUUCCCGGGCCUUGUACACACCGCCCGUCACACCAUGGGAGUGGGUUGCACCAGAAGUAGCUAGUCUAACCUUCGGGGGGACGGUUACCACGGAGUGGAUU